UACGGGGGGGGCAAGCGUUGUUCGGAAUUACUGGGCGUAAAGGGUCUGUAGGUGGCCAACUAAGUCAGACGUGAAAUCCCUCAGCUUAACUGGGGAACUGCGUCUGAUACUGGAUGGCUUGAGUGCAGGAGAGGAACGCGGAAUUCCAGGUGUAGCGGUGAAAUGCGUAGAUAUCUGGAGGAACACCGGUGGCGAAGGCGGCGUUCGUGGACUGCAACUGACACUGAGAGACGAAAGCCAGGGGAGCAAACGGG
rnacentral:rRNA from 1 species